UGGUUGAUAUUUUUUGAGACUACCUGGUUCCAAGGGGGAAGGCAAAAGAGGGACACCACUUCCGGUAUGGCCUCCACCCAUCGCCCACCCAGUGCCUCUCAAACGGACCUUCUGCUCCACUCACAGAAUCCUGGUGCCUGCUGGCGCCAUGCUGAGGAGAAGUUACAUUGGAGGCUUGGUGAGAGUGCAUAGAGACAGGAUCAGCCUAUUCAGCCUGAGGCAGAGGAGCAAUUUGCAAUCCCCAACAAGGCAAAACUUUACUCCUUCAAAUGUUCUUUCUGAAUUAUCUACAUUUGAAUCAGAAAACAAAAUGUCAUCCAUAAAAUGAUAUACUAUAGACUGAGGAAAUUGCUUACAUAUUAUUUCCAACAGCUGCCGAACAAAAUAUUGGCACAGGGUGAGGCUAUUUAACAUUCCCUGUGGGAGAACCUUCCAUUGGUAUCUCUUAGCAG